rnacentral:rRNA from 1 species
AAACCAACAGGGAUUGCCCUAGUAACGGCGAGUGAAGCGGCAACAGCUCAAAUUUGAAAUCUGGCUACUUUGUAGUCCGAGUUGUAAUUUGUAGAGGAUGCUUUUGGUGAGGUGCCUUCCGAGUUCCCUGGAACGGGACGCCAUAGAGGGUGAGAGCCCCGUACGGUUGGAUGCCAAACCUUUGUAUAGCUCCUUCAACGAGUCGAGUAGUUUGGGAAUGCUGCUCUAAAUGGGAGGUAUAUCUCUUCUAAAGCUAAAUAUAGGCUAGAGACCGAUAGCGCACAAGUAGAGUGAUCGAAAGAUGAAAAGCACUUUGAAAAGAGAGUUAAACAGCACGUGAAAUUGUUGAAAGGGAAGCGCCUAUGACCAGACUUGUCUCUAUCAGUUUUGCUAGUUUUCGGACUGGUUUACUCUGUUAGUACAGGCCAGCAUCAGUUUGUUGUUGGGGAGAAAGGCUUAGGGAAUGUGGCUCCUUCGGGAGUGUUAUAGCCCUUUGCAUAAUACCUUUCGACAGACUGAGGACCGCGCUUCGGCAAGGAUGCUGGCGUAAUGGUCAUCAGCGAC